rnacentral:lncRNA from 1 species
GAAGUCCCUCAAUGUUUAAUGCUCCCUAGUGAAAAACUCCCCAACACUUCCCCCUAACGAAAAAUUCAAAUAACUACAAUCCAUAAGAAAAGGGAAGAAGACGAUUGAGAUACAAAAUGUUUGAAGAUGAAGGUGAACGAAUGCUUCGAUAUAGGAAAAAAGAAUAAAAAGCUUUCGAAAAAGAAGAUUAAAUCAGAUUCUGAGUUUUUAUUUAGAUUGAAUAAAUAACUCAAUUCAAUAAUAAAAUUGUGAAGUGACAUUAUUUACCCCACGUGUAAUAAAAAUAUUUGAAAAAUAAUAAAAAAAAUCC